UGGGGAAUAUUGCACAAUGGGGGAAGCCCUGAUGCAGCGACGCCGCGUGAGCGAAGAAGUAUUUCGGUAUGUAAAGCUCUGUCAGCAGGGAAGAAGAUGACGGUACCUGACCAAGAAGCUCCGGCUAAAUACGUGCCAGCAGCCGCGGUAAUACGUAUGGAGCAAGCGUUAUCCGGAUUUAUUGGGUUUAAAGGGUGCGUAGGCGGCGGUGCAAGUCAGCGGUAAAAGCCCGGGGCUCAACCCCGGCGAGCCGUUGAAACUGCAGUGCUAGAGAAGGCGAGAGGUACGCGGAAUGCGCAGUGUAGCGGUGAAAUGCUUAGAUAUCACGCAGAACUCCGAUUGCGAAGGCAGCAUACCGGCGCUCAACUGACGCUCAGGCACGAAAGCGUGGGUAUCGAACAGGAUUAGAUACCC
rnacentral:rRNA from 1 species